CCUACGGGCGGCAGCAGUAGGGAAUCUUCCGCAAUGGGCGAGAGCCUGACGGAGCAACGCCGCGUGAGUGAUGAAGGUCUUCGGAUCGUAAAACUCUGUUGUUAGGGAAGAACAAAUUUGUUAGUAACUGAACAAGUCUUGACGGUACCUAACCAGAAAGCCACGGCUAACUACGUGCCAGCAGCCGCGGUAAUACGUAGGUGGCAAGCGUUAUCCGGAAUUAUUGGGCGUAAAGCGCGCGUAGGCGGUUUCUUAAGUCUGAUGUGAAAGCCCACGGCUC
rnacentral:rRNA from 1 species